rnacentral:ncRNA from 1 species
UGACCCCAUCUCAGGCGAGAACACCCGCUGAGUUUAAGCAUAUAAUUAAGCGGAGGAAAAGAAACUUACAAGGAUUACCCUAGUAACAGCGAGCGAACCGGGAAGAGCCCAACAUGAAAAUCAAGUGGCAGCAUCACAUGAAUUGUAGUCUAUAGAAGUGUCCUUAGUGGCGGACUUAGCCCAAGUCCCCUAGAAGGGGGCGCCAGAGAGGGUGACAGCCCCAUCGGGCUGGGACCCUGCCGCACCACGAAGCGUUGUCGGUGAGUCAGGUUGUUUGGGAAUGUAACCCUAAUCGGGUGGUAAAUUCCAUCCAAGGCUAAAUACGGGUGAGAGACCAAUAGCGAGCAAGUACCGUGAGGGAAAGAUGAAAAGGACUUUGAAAAGAGAGUUAAAGAGUGCUUAAAAUUUCCGGGAGGGAAGCAGAUGGAGGCCGACGAUGCAUCUCGGUUGGAUGCAAAACGACUCAAGUUGGUCCGCUGCUCGACUCGAGGUGCGAACCAGCACAUGCCGUUGCAUCGACACAAGUGCGGGUGGAGUACUGCCUAUUGGUUUACCAUUGUGGUGGUCGAGGAAUGAAGCAUGUGCCCUUGGGGUGGGCCACUGUGCACCUGCACACUCGUGGUGUUGGUUGGCGGGCUUUCCAUUCGACCC